GUGCUUGCUUUGGUAGCACAUAUAUUAAAAUUGGAACAAUACAGAGAAGAUUAGCAUGGCCACUGCACAAAGAUGACACACAAAUUUGUGAAGUGUUCCAUAUUUUU
ensembl:snRNA U6 U6 spliceosomal RNA